rfam:Zootermopsis nevadensis contig31434, whole genome shotgun sequence.
GCCACGGUGGUCUAGCGGUUAGAACGCUGGCCUUGUAAUCCUGGGGUCUCGGGUUCGAUUCCCGGCAGUGCCC